AUGGAGGUCCCCCGAUCCCGCCGCCGCAUUAGGCACUCCCCACCGCCGCCGCCACCGGCACAGGGUUGUACGGGAGGAGAUGACCUCAUUAGCACGCUCCCAGAUGACAUGCUCCUCCAGAUCCUCGCGUGCCUCGGCUGCGCUGGCGCCGCCGCAUGCACCGGCGUGCUCGCGUGCCGGUGGCGCAACCUCUGGAUCCAUCUCCCCGGGCUCAUCUUUCGCGAUGUCCCGGUCGGCAAGGUGCAGGCGGCGCUCACCCGCAUCGCGUGUCGCCGUGCAGGUAUGUCCGUCUCUGCCCUCGACAUCCAUCUCGCGAGGAGUGUGCCGCCGGAGGCUGCCAGGCACGACGAAGCGCUUGCCAAAAAGUUGUUGCGCAAGGCCGUCCGGCUCUCCCCGGAGGAGCUCAUCUUUGUCCUCUCCCGGUCUUCUAUAAGAAAGCCAGGGCGUCGCGUCGAAAUCACCAUGCCUUGCUUCCUCCACGCCACCUCCAUCGAGCUGGACACAUACUUCCUCCAGAUCCAGCCACCGGACAACCAGAUCCUUCCUGCUCUUGAGAAGCUCUCUCUCCCCGGAAACAUUGUUGACAUUGGCGCCUGUCUCAACCAGUGCCCGCGCCUGCGCGUGCUCAGGGUCACCUUCCGUGGGGUCUCGCCUGUCUUGCUCGAAGAGUCGCUCACCGCACUAGAAGCUGCUGUGGCGCUCGGACUCACGGUGUCCCUCUUGCGCAUCGAGUUCGAUCUCUAUAAUGGGGGACACACUGCUGAUGGAGAUCAAUUUGCCUCCCUUCUCCAUGUUGCGGCAAGGGUCUCUCCACAAGAGCUUGUCCUUGUUAAUAGCUUCAACGAAUAUUUUACUGCUGAGCUGCCGUGCUUUCCCCGCACGAAGUCAAUCGAGAUGUGGUUGUGCUCCGUCUGCUUCACUCAGGUGACGGAAGAUAAAUUCUUGGCACUUGAGAGGUUGUCCCUCCAACGCUACCGUUGCACCAUCCUCGAUCUUGACAACAUGGUUGCCCGUUGUCCACGCCUACGCGUGCUCAAGGUGAAUGCGGAUAGAUCUGCACAAGUUGUUACAAUCCGCUCAACAUCGUUGCAGGAGCUUGAGCUUAGUAUCGAUGAAGGGCAAUGUGAGGGUAUCGACAUAGGGACUCCACUGUUUACGCAACUAAAGCUCAGUGUUGAUGCUGCCUCGGACAUCAACGUGUCCAUCUGGGCGCCAAUGGUGGAGAAGGUCUCUUAUUGGUUUUCAUAUAAAAAGUUGGCCCUUAUGUUUGGUUUUUGGUCACUUCAGAGCCUGAGGGUCGAUACGAUAGAGAACUACAAAUACAAAGAUGAAGGGCUCACCAAGGAAGGGAAAGAUGCAUGUUCGCAGCCCCCUCGUGUUCAUGUCCUAUGUUUGCAAAUAUCUGCGCGGGAUCAGUCUGGUCCGGUGCUGAACUUUGCUAGGGAGUUGGAGAAACUUCCACUUUCCAACUUUACAAUAUUGGCCCUAAAUCUCAAUGCGGAGGGACAUAUUUUAGCAGCAUUUGUGUCACGUAUCCUUGGGAUGCAUCACCUUCAAACUCGUAUACAAAGGCUUAAAGUUGUACUAUGCAGCUGGUCUGAGAUGUCAAAAUGUGUUAAACAAUGUCCUUGUAAUGAGCCCAAGAACUGGAGGAGCCAUAGUAUCUCCUUGACGCGCCUUGAAGAAGUGGAAAUUUACAAAUUCAAAGGAGGGGAUCAUGAGAUUGAUUUCGUGACAAUGAUACUAAGUUGGGCUCCAAUGCUUACAAGAAUGACCAUCAGGCUAACUCAUGAGAUUAAUCCAAGUGACAUUGGAGAUUGCGCCAAGAGUAUUUACAGAAUUUAUUUUGGUCAUCCUUUCGUUAACUCCUUCGUUUAUCUUAGCAAUGGGGAAUUGGUACUAUGCUCCCAGAUGUAA
rnacentral:rRNA from 1 species